CCUACGGGAUGCAGCAGUGAGGAAUAUUGGUCAAUGGGCGCGAGCCUGAACCAGCCAAGUAGCGUGAAGGCUGACUGCCCUACGGGUUGUAAACUUCUUUUAUAAAGGAAUAAAGUGAGGCACGUGUGCCUUUUUGUAUGUACUUUAUGAAUAAGGAUCGGCUAACUCCGUGCCAGCAGCCGCGGUAAUACGGAGGAUCCGAGAGUUAUCCGGAUUUAUUGGGUUUAAAGGGAGCGUAGAUGGGUUGUUAAGUCAGUUGUGAAAGUUUGCGGCUCAACCGUAAAAUUGCAAUUGAUACUGGCAGUCUGGAGUGGGCGAGAGGUAUGCGGAAUGCGUGGUGUAGUGGUGAAAUGCAUAGAUAUCAAGCAGAACUCCGAUUGCGAAGGCAGCAUACCGGCGCCCAACUGACGCUGAAGCACGAAAGCGUGGGUAUCGAACAGGAUUAGAUACCCUUGUAGUC
rnacentral:rRNA from 1 species